rnacentral:rRNA from 1 species
UACGGAAGGGGGCGAGCGUUGUUCGGAAUUACUGGGCGUAAAGGGCGCGUAGGCGGCGACUCAAGUUAGAUGUGAAAGUCCUGGGCUUAACCUGGGGACUGCAUUUGAUACUGGGUUGCUUGAAUUCGGGAGAGGAUAGCGGAAUUCCCAGUGUAGAGGUGAAAUUCGUAGAUAUUGGGAAGAACACCGGUGGCGAAGGCGGCUAUCUGGACCGACAUUGACGCUGAGGCGCGAAAGCGUGGGGAGCAAACAGG